rnacentral:lncRNA from 1 species
AUGCAAAAAGUUCUAAAAAUUAUCAAAAUGCUCUUUAUUGAAGUUUUUUCUUUUUCCACUGACCCAUGGGAUGUAUUAAAAGUGGACAAAUGGGCCUAUUUCCUGAUAGGAAGAGUAACCAAGAAGACCAUCUGCAAGAACAAGGGUGUGAGGUCAAAUUCCAAUAAAAUAAUGCAAAGAGAGAAACCCUCACCUAAAUCUCUGUCUAAAUCAUGUAUCAUCAAUCAUCAAUCGACACUGCGCUGGGUACUAGCUUGUGUGCUGCGCCUUUUGAGGAUUCAGAGAGUAUGGGAUAUAAAGGAAUGUCAAGGGAUUUGGAGGACCAUGUCUCACAUCCAGCUCACUAAGGGCACAUGUUCCAAGAUUCCCAGUGGAUGUACGAAACAAAGGACUAUAUCAAACCUAUCCAAAUGAUUUUUCUUAUACUUACACAUUUACGAGAGAAAAGAGUUCAGGUGAUGCAAAUGGCAUAAAAGAAAGAUGGAAACAACAGAGGACUCAUGAAUCAUAAAGAAUUGUUGCAUUCCUUCAGAUUUCAUGCCUAUCAUUUGCAAAACAUCCCUUGGAAUGUAGCUCAAAGUCAGAGAA